AGUUGGCUCCAUGUCACUGUCAGAUGGGGACCAAGCACAGAGAGCAUACAGAGCCCCUGGCUGGCAAGUCACAGCCUUCACAGUGACAUUAGCUGCAGGGGCCCCUCAGAUCAGGGAGCUGUCUCAACACAGGACAGUGCUGGGUCAGGAAGGCUGGUGGCCCUGGUGACCUCCUGGGCAGAGUGAGUGCUGAGCAGGCCAUGGUAGGGUGUCAUGAACCCUCUGGAGGAACGGGAAGAGACAGGGUGAGACCUACCACGGCUGCCUGCCCCUUCGGAUCUCGUCUCUUCCUCCUGGUUGUGUCUGGGAUCCCGGGGAGACCUGUGCUGCGUGGCCAGCUCUUUGCUUGCAGGUUCUUUGCCUUCUGCUGCGACCUGGCCAAUGAGGCUGGCACUGGAAAAACAGGAAGACAUCAUUGGAUCGUCUUGAGAAGCAAACCCACAACCCCCAAAAAUGGACCUGCUCACAGAGGCUGCAGCUUUCCACACAUAAGCAGGGACCCGCGGCAUCUGUGGGUUUGGCAUCCGAGGAGGCCUUGGAAUGAGACCUCUGGUGGCAGAUGUGCCUCUCCAGCACCCUUGAAACCAUGCCUGCCAAAUGUCCUGAUGGCGAUUGACACCCGCCGGCUGUCAUUCCCCUCGGUGGGCGAGACACAUCAUGCUAAGGACAUCACAGAGACUCCAUCUGACUCCCUACUGAUCGAGGGCCAGGCAUCGGGAAGAACACAGAGCUCACAAGAGAGAAGCCCAGGAAGACACACGAGCACCCUGGAAACAGGGCCCUUGAAUCAAGGUCAAAGGGGAGCCAGACCCCUCUGGUCAAGGCUGAAGUCAGAGAACCCAGCCCUCAGUGCACUCAUGGGGACAACUGCAUCCCAGAAACCGUGAACACUGCAUCCCGUGAUGGAAUUCACAUCCGGUCUGUGCAGAGCGUUUCCUGGUAGUCACCUUGGAGAAGAAAAACUAGAUAGUGCUGCUGGGGAUUUAGCUCAGUGGUACAAGCACCUGCCUGGCAAGUGUGAAGUCACGAGUAUGAUCCUUGGUACCCCCUCCCCAAAUCCCCAAGAAACAAAACCUGGAAGGAGUUGAAGUAACAGGGAGCCAAGUGUCUUUGAGGAGAGAAAUAGAUGAGAGUGUUUGCUUCGCAUAUGAGGCUUACUGGGGUGAUGAAUCCAAACCAGUGCCAAUGUCUAUGGGUAUAUCGAUUGCUGGAUAAGAAAUUACUUUGAAAUUGGCACUGGUAAGGGAGAUUGUAAGUACAUCUAUUUCAGAGACCAAGAUAUCAGGAAAUAAAAGAGGGUGAGGAGAAAGAAGAAUAUAUACAUAUGAGGGGAAAUGAGACUCUAAAUAUAUAUAUAAAGGGAAAUGUAGUUUUAUUAAAGUAGCCUCUUCCUACGAUUGAUCUCAGAAAGGUCACAGGGAAAACAAGUCAGCAUCCGGAAGUGAUGCUCCAGAUGUAGCUGUGUAAACAUCCCAUGUAACAAGCAUCACCUCAGAUGAAUAGGGAAGAGGGAGGUUUUUUCCCUUUUCUUUUAUCACACAUUCUUCUGCUUCGUUGGCCAUUUGCAAAACAUAGAACAACCCUGUCUUGUGCCUUGCACUAAAAAAAUAAAGCAUUGAAGAUCAGACUCUUAAAAGUCCAUAAAUUAACAAGAAAAAACCUUUAAAAUACCAAACAAAGUUGGGUUCUUUAAACCCAUUCACUAAAAUAAGUUCCAUAUGAAUGACUUAAAUGUAUAAAGCUUAUAAAAGCAUUGGGAGGAAAUGUGAGUGAAUUAUUCUGUGAUCUUGUCCUAAAUAGGACUUUCUAAGAUGCAUAGCAUAGAAGCCAUCAAAGAAAAGAAUUAUACUAAAUACAAUCAGUUUCUGCAAAGCAAAAGAAUAAAAACGACAAAGUAAAAGGCAAAUCGCAGUUCCGAUACACAGUGACCAAGCACCCACUACCCUUCCUAUGGUUUAGGAGCACAGUGGCCUCAUGGAUGAAGCAUGGCUUCCCAACACUUCCUAGAAACCAGACUUUUGCCACACAUCCACUCCACCGCAUUCUGGGUAAUAAAAAUGCAGAUUAGGCUGAAAGCAAA